GACGAACGCUGGCGGUGCGCCUCAUACAUGCAAGUCGAACGAGCCUUCGGGCUAGUGGCGGACGGGUGAGUAACGCGUAGAUAACGUGCCUCUUACUGGGGGAUAACACCGGGAAACUGGUGCUAAUACCGCAUAAGAUGCAGGGGGAAGUUCCCUGUAUUUAAAGAUUUAUUGGUAAGAGAUCGGUCUGCGUCUGAUUAGUUAGUUGGUGGGGUAAAGGCCUACCAAGACGAUGAUCAGUAGUUGGUCUGAGAGGAUGAUCAGCCACAGUGGAACUGAGACACGGUCCACACUCCUACGGGAGGCAGCAGUAGGGAAUUUUGCGCAAUGGGCGAAAGCCUGACGCAGCGACACCGCGUGGAGGAUGAAGGUUUUCGGAUCGUAAACUCCUUUUGGCAGGGAAGAAAAAUGACGGUACCUGCAGAAUAAGCACCGGCUAACUACGUGCCAGCCGCCGCCGUAA
rnacentral:rRNA from 1 species